rnacentral:rRNA from 1 species
CCUACGGGAGGCAGCAGUGGGGGAUAUUGCACAAUGGGGGAAACCCUGAUGCAGCGACGCCGCGUGUGGGAAGACGGUCCUCUGGAUUGUAAACCACUGUCCCCAGGGACGAAGAUGACGGUACCUGGGGAGGAAGCUCCGGCUAACUACGUGCCAGCAGCCGCGGUAAUACGUAGGGAGCGAGCGUUGUCCGGAAUUACUGGGUGUAAAGGGAGCGGAGGCGGGACUGCAAGUUGGGUGUCAAAUCUACCGGCUCAACCGGUAGCCGCACUCAAAACUGCAGUUCUUGAGUGAAGUAGAGGCAGGCGGAAUUCCUAGUGUAGCGGUGAAAUGCGUAGAUAUUAGGAGGAACACCAGUGGCGAAGGCGGCCUACUGGGCUUUUACUGACGCUGAGGCUCGAAAGUGUGGGGAGCAAACAGGAUUAGAUACCCGGGUAGUC